rnacentral:rRNA from 1 species
AUUGAACGCUGGCGGCAUGCCUUACACAUGCAAGUCGAACGGUAACGCGGGGCAACCUGGCGACGAGUGGCGAACGGGUGAGUAAUGCAUCGGAACGUGCCUGGUAGUGGGGGAUAACUGCUCGAAAGAGCAGCUAAUACCGCAUACGACCUGAGGGUGAAAGGGGGGGAUCGCAAGACCUCUCGCCAUAAGAUGAGCCUAUGUUGGAUUAGCUAGUUGGUAGGGUAAAGGCUUACCAAGGCGACGAUCCAUAGCUGUUCGGAGAGGAAGGACAGCCACACUGGGACUGAGACACGGCCCAGACUCCUACGGGAGGCAGCAGUGGGGAAUAUUGGACAAUGGGGGCAACCCUGAUCCAGCAAUGCCAUGUGUGUGAAGAAGGCCUUCGGGUUGUAAAGCACUUUAGUGAGGGAGCAAAGGAGAUGUGUUAAUACCACAUUUUUGUGAGAGUACCUCAAGAAUAAGCACCGGCAAACUCUGUGCCAGCCGCCGCCGUAACAC